rnacentral:rRNA from 1 species
GACGAACGCUGGCGGCGUGCCUAAUACAUGCAAGUCGAGCGCAGGAAGUCGACGGAACCCUUCGGGGGGAAGUCGACGGAAUGAGCGGCGGACGGGUGGGUAACACGUAAAGAACCUGCCCUCAGGUCUGGGAUAACCACGAGAAAUCGGGGCUAAUACCGGAUGGGUCAUCGGACCGCAUGGUCCGAGGAUGAAAGGCGCUCCGGCGUCGCCUGGGGAUGGCUUUGCGGUGCAUUAGCUAGUUGGUGGGGUAAUGGCCCACCAAGGAGACGAUGCAUAGCCGACCUGAGAGGGUGAUCGGCCACACUGGGACUGAGACACGGCCCAGACUCCUACGGGAGGCAGCAGUAGGGAAUCUUCCACAAUGGACGAAAGUCUGAUGGAGCAACGCCGCGUGAACGAUGAAGGCCUACGGGUCGUAAAGUUCUGUUGUAAGGGAAGAACAAGUGCCGCAGGCAAUGGCGGCACCUUGACGGUACCUUGCGAGAAAGCCACGGCUAACUACGUGCCAGCAGCCGCCGCCGUAA